GACGAACGCUGGCGGCGUGCUUAACACAUGCAAGUCGAACGGAGUGGCGAACGGGUGAGUAACACGUGGGUGAUCUGCCUUGCACUUCGGGAUAAGCUUGGGAAACUGGGUCUAAUACCGGAUAGUGCAAGAUGAGCUCGCGGCUUAUCAGCUUUUUGGUGGGGUAAUGACCUACCAAGGCGUCGACGGGUAGCCGGCCUGGGAGGGUGUACGGGCAAAGUGGGACUGAGGUACGGCGCAGGGUCCUACGGGGUGCAGCAGUGGGGGAUAUUGCACAAUGGGCGGAAGCCUGAUGAAGGGACGCCGCGUGGGGGAUGAAGGCCUUCGGGUUAUAAACUCCUUUCGACAGGGACGCGGUACCUGUAUAAGAAGCACCGGCUAACUACGUGCCAGCAGCCGCGGUAAUUC
rnacentral:rRNA from 1 species